rnacentral:rRNA from 1 species
UACGGAGGGUGCAAGCGUUAUCCGGAUUCACGGGGUUUAAAGGGAGCGCAGGCGGGCUGGUAAGUCAGUGGUGAAAGCCUUGAGCUUAACUCGAGAACUGCCAUUGAUACUAUCAGUCUUGAAUAUUGUUGAGGUUUGCGGAAUGGGUCAUGUAGCGGUGAAAUGCAUAGAUAUGACCCGGAACACCUAUUGCGAAGGCAGCAGGCUAAACAAAGAUUGACGCUGAGGCUCGAAAGCGUGGGGAUCAAACAGG